CCGGCUCACAGCAGGAGGACACUUCUGGCUGGUUAGAAACAGUUGGAAAGCAUUGGAAGAAAGCCGGCUAUUGACUGUCCUGCUUAAGCCAUAAGACGGACAGGAGCUAUGGCCUUCCACCCUGGUCUCCCUGGACUCUGCUUGGUGCAGCUGUGGCUCCCAGGAUCCUCUAGGCCUCUUGUUCCCUACUCUACCUCCUUUUAACCUAAGAAAUCUCCAUCCCGGAUGCCUGCCGGUUGCUGAAGCUGGUGUCCUCAGACCCUCGAGGGAUAGCUCCUCCCCCCAACAUGAGCUCCUUGGAAGACUUUCCAGUGCCACUGGUGGCUUAACCUCCCUCAGCUUUCCCC
rnacentral:lncRNA from 1 species